rnacentral:antisense_RNA from 1 species
UUCUAUGGCGGGCGGUACGUAGGGGCUUCGCGCCCGCCGGCGUUCUUGAGGCAGUCACCGGUAUUGGAACCACUCACCGUCCGCCAUCCUC